rnacentral:rRNA from 1 species
UACGUAGGGUGCGAGCGUUGUCCGGAAUUAUUGGGCGUAAAGGGCUCGUAGGCGGUUUGUCGCGUCGGGAGUGAAAUCCACUGGCUUAACUGGUGGCUUGCUUCGAUACGGCAGACUGGAGGUAUGCAGGGGAGAACGGAAUUCCUGGUGUAGCGGUGAAAUGCGCAGAUAUCAGGAGGAACACCGGUGGCGAAGGCGGUUCUCUGGGCAUGUCCUGACGCUGAGGAGCGAAAGUGUGGGAGCGAACAGG